rnacentral:misc_RNA from 1 species
GAAGGAAGCCUGUCAACUUCUCCCAGAAAUAUCAAGCCCAACAAUCCACCCGAAGGUUGCUCAGGUUCUGUUGGAGCGGGGAAACCCUGAUGCAGCUCUCAUGGUUCUGAGGUGGUCUGGACAAGAUGGCACACAGCUAAUUUCACUUCGUGAGGCUGUAACUGCUGUCCGUGUGCGGGUAGAAUGUGGACUUUUGACUGAAGCAUUCACGUAUCAGAGGCUUAUCUGUGCUAAGAUCAAGGAAAAAAAGUUGAGGGAUGAACAGUUUCAGAGUGCUUCUGCUGAAGUAGAGGACCAAUGCAGGUCGUGGGGUCUCUGGUUGGAGACCCUUGUCACUGAAAUUUGUUGUCUGUGCAUUAGAAGGAACUUAGUUGACCGCAUGAUAGAACUGCCAUGGACUGCUGAUGAGGAGAAGCACAUUCAUAAAUGUCUGCUGGAUUUUGCUGCCGAGGAUCCUUCAACGCCCAUAGGAAGUCUUCUUGUAGUUUUCUACUUGCAGCGUCAUAGAUAUGUUGAAGCAUACCAAGUUGAUCAGAAGCUUCAGAGCAUGGAGGAGAACUUCAUUUCUCAAAAUUCUGUCAGUGAAGAAGUCUUAGCGAGGGUCAGAUCAAUAAAUCAUUGGAGGACUUGUUUGGUUGACAAGGGAGUAGAGUUGUUACCAGAUAUCUUACAACAGCAAAUAAGGACAGGGAAGUUGCCUGAACUGGUUGUUACUUGCAAUGACACAGUCAACAUCUCUGAGAGGUCCAAUGCUGUAGCCCAAGAACCUAUCAUGACCAGUUUAUUGGUUAAUCCUCCCACCGUUUCUGGCCUCAUUCAGCGAGUUGAUGUUGUUAAACCUUCUGUUCUUGACGCUCCAUCUGUACUUGGGGGAUCAUUAAAUCUGUCGAGCUUUAAAGUUGGGCAUUAUAGUUCUCCCAGCUCCCCAGCUUUUUUUAAUGAUGCUGGAGUGUUGAAACCUGAAAGUAUCCUUGGGAAAAAAUUGAAAUUUGAUGAGAUUUUGACUCCUGCAAGUCGUCGUGUUAAUCCUCCUGCUCCUGUAAUGAAGAUCAGCAGGAAUUCGUCAGUGGAACCUUCUAUUAGUCGACUUCGCAAUUCUCAAACAUAUAGAGUUUCGCCUGAGAAGUCUCAGAAUGGGUUUCCAAAGGAAUCUUAUAUUUUUGACCAGACUGCCGGCAACAAUGUCAAUUCUCUUAGUAGCAACAGAGGCAUAUUAAAACAUUCAGUUGAAGAUUCAUACAUGAGUUAUCCUGGUAAACGUCAACUGUCAGAUGCUGCUGAUAGAUCACGGAUGUUACCAUUAAAUGAUUCAAUGGAUGUAAGCUGGAGCCAUGAAGAAAAG